UUACUCGCAGUAACAUUUUUGUUGUCAAGCUUAAUGAUUAGCAUAAUUAGUAUUUUAUGAUUGCAAUAUAACAUUCUUGCACGAAUCUGCGAGAUUUGGGUUUGUUUGUGAUUGCACGAAGAAAAAAUUCACGCGAUUAAAUCACGGAUACAUAGCCACACGAGGCAGACAGAGUGGGAUCGGUGCGAGUCACGCGACUGCAGGCCGUCGAUCGUGACUUUCACCGGGACCGGUUCGUAGUUUACCUGCCCACAAUGCCAGUCACUGAAGUACAUAUAAAACUAUUUGUGAUAGGGUGGAAAUUUCCGCAGGUUAAUUACCUGUAGUAACCGUCUGAUACGUCGAUUAACAGAUAGCCAAGUAUCAAUUACUCGCGAAACUACGAGUAUCAGUAACCGAAUUGAAGUUUUAUCUUUUCAAUCUACUUCUUAUAUACAAAGUUGCAUCUUAUGUAUCUCCAAGAAGGAAACACUAUACAAUCACUAAUAUUUGAUGUGACAACAAGUGAUGAUAGUUACGUAUUGACCUGACCAGCGCAAUGUUAUUUCGGCAGGAAAGAACGGCAGAGAACCAAAGAUAUGGGAUCAGUGGAGCAACUGGUCCGGAUGCAGCGUCACUUGUGGAAUAGGGACGAUUAUGAGAUGGAGGCAUUGCAUAGGAGGAAGUUGUUUCCUGGGAGAGAAGAAAGCUCAAUUAAAAACCUGCACCUCCGCCGCGUGUUAAAGUGCUUUUACGCGUAAUCUUAACAAUCGAAAUAUGAGAGGACCUUACUUAGGACCUGACUUAGGAAUUGCAGUGAGAUAUCCGAAUGAUCGUUUCGCAAUAUUUCUGCAAUUCAUAAAUCUAACAAGAUGAUAUCAUUCAGCUGAUGAUUGAAAAAAGAGUGAGUAAAAAAUAAAAAAUUGUUAACUGAAUAAAUGUUGCUAAUCACUGUAGUGUUUAACAAAUGUGCAAAAUGUGAGCAUAAAUAUCUAUCUGUCCUUUCUUCUUUAAAGAUAUAGCUAGAUAUAACUAAUCUAUCGGGGUUUACAGAGAAUUUUCCAAGAGUCUAACAGCAGGUACAUUAUAAUCUAUGCCUUCUUUGCUGACUUAUAUUUCAAUCUCUUUUGAAAUAAUCAUCAGAUCUGUAAAUUGGUGGUGAUUUGUAUAUUGGCACGGUACCAGAGGCAAUAGAUUCUUGAACUUUCUU